rnacentral:rRNA from 1 species
UACGUAGGGACCAAGCGUUGUUCGGAUUUACUGGGCGUAAAGGGCGCGUAGGCGGCGUGGUAAGUCACUUGUGAAAUCUCUGAGCUUAACUCAGAACGGCCAAGUGAUACUGCUGUGCUAGAGUGCAGAAGGGGCAAUCGGAAUUCUUGGUGUAGCGGUGAAAUGCGUAGAUAUGUGGAGGAAUACCGAUGGCGAAGGCAGCCCCCUGGGAUAACACUGACGCUCAUGCACGAAAGCGUGGGGAGCAAACAGG